rnacentral:rRNA from 1 species
AUUGAACGCUGGCGGCGUGCCUAACACAUGCAAGUCGAGCGAGGGGAGUUCUUCGGAACAAACCUAGCGGCGGACGGGUGAGUAACACGUGGGCAACCUGCCUCAUAGAGGGGAAUAGCCUUCCGAAAGGGAGAUUAAUACCGCAUAAGAUUGUAGCUUCGCAUGAAGUAGCAAUUAAAGGAGCAAUCCGCUAUGAGAUGGGCCCGCGGGGCAUUAGCUAGUUGGUGAGGUAACGGCUCACCAAGGCGACGAUGCGUAGCCGACCUGAGAGGGUGAUCGGCCACAUUGGGACUGAGACACGGCCCAGACUCCUACGGGAGGCAGCAGUGGGGAAUAUUGCACAAUGGGGGAAACCCUGAUGCAGCAACGCCGCGUGAGUGAUGAAGGCCUUCGGGUUGUAAAGCUCUGUCUUCAGGGACGAUAAUGACGGUACCUGAGGAGGAAGCCACGGCUAACUACGUGCCAGCCGCCGCGGUAAAAC